ensembl:lncRNA
AUAGUUCACAUAAAAACAAAAAACACAAAACAAUCCUCUGACAGAUUGUAUUUUCCCAAAAUGGCACAGCAAUAUUUCUGUUCUUACAUUCUCCUCUAGAACCUUGCCACUUCCCAUCUGGAGAUAGAAUCUCUUUCCCCUUUAUUUGAACAUAGGUGGGACUUGUGACUCCUCAACCAAUAGGAAAUAGUGGAAUGGAUGCAGUGUGCCUUCUGAGGUUGGGUCAUACAUGGUGACAUAGUUCCUUCUGGCUGCCUCUCAGGAUGUUCACCCUUGCAUUCAGCCACCAUGUGGAGAAGAAGCUCCAAGAGACCAUGGGGAGAAGCCUCUUGGAGAGGCCUGCCUGGAGGAGAAUUAAGAUCCCCAAUCAGUGUAAGCCACCAAAAGUAAUUCAGACUGUGAAGUAAAAUAACUGGUUAAACAAGGCACAAAUUCCUGCUCAACCCCUUCUUCAACCAUGGAAGACGUUGAUGAUUAAACACAUCGUUGAACAUCACACUGGUGCUCCUAUUGCCUCUUAAUAGCAAGGUGUGGGCAGUUAUCAAUCAGAGAUGGCAUGCAAAUCACAACCAUUUCUCAAUCCUAACUUCGGAAAAAAAUCUUUAAUUCUUUUAGCAUUAUAUUAAAGCCUUUUGUCAUCUGUCCCCAAACUAACUUUCCAGUCUUAUGUUCUAUCAGACUCCCCCUCGAAACCCACAUACUAAAAUUAAGACAUAGCUACAUGUUUAGAGAUUGUCAAAUAAUUACUGUCUAGCAAUCUUCUAAUUUAGAACCUUUUUUUUUUUUUGAAACAUCAUCUAUGUUUUUUUUUUUUCAGAGAAGAUAUAUACAACCUUCGGUGGAGUUCAAAUGCCACUCCACCUAUAGCUACUUCCUCAGUUUGAAUUGAUUUCUCUUUUUAUUUUUAUUUCAUAGAACUUUCAUUAAUUUUUAGACUGUAUUGUAAAACUUAACUGAUUUUACCUAUUUGUCUGUCUUUCUUGUGCAUUAUAAUUUACUCAAGGAAACAAUUAUAUUUUACUCAUUGUUCACCCCCGUGGCACCUGGUACAAACUUUACAUAUUUUAUCAAAUCAAAUUAAAUUGAUUUAAAAAAUAAUUGAUUUUAGAUGUUAUUUGGACUUUCCCAAUAUCCCCAUAAGAUAUGCUAUUCUACUCUUGUCUUGACUAAUUUUGUGUUUUUUGACUUAUACACAAAACCAACUAUGGUAUUAUUUGACUAAAAGGUAUACCAAGCAUAGACUUAUAAUUAAAUUGUAAGAAAUUAGUAGAGAUAUUCAAGAUUUCUAGAUUAAAAGUUAAAGUUUGCUCAACUGGGCCUGUCACUUUUGGUAUUCAUAACACGCACACCCCAACACAAAUUAAAAUUAACUAUAUGUAGAAAAACUUUUCAAAAUGCAUUCUAAAGAGCAAAGAAAUUGCUCUGAUUUGUUCUGUUAGUACUUAGAUUUAUUUUGGUUUAGAUUUCAGAAACUUCAUUUAAAGCUUUUAUAGAAUCAUUAAGCUCCAAGAAUUGCCUGUAUUGAAUUUUCUUAGUAAAUCUGUGCUCACUUGGCCCUUUAUUUUCCUCUGAGUGGUAUGUCCCUUAUAUGUUCUGAGAUCUAAGGCAAACCAAAUUUCUCAAAGACUUAAUUUCUUUGUAUACAAGUUAGGAGGAAUAAUAAUUCCUACCAACGUAGCUACUUAUCCUAAAGAGCUGUUGUGGAGAUCAAAGAGACAGUCACACACACACAUACACACACACUUUCAAAAGUAUACUCUUAAAUAAUAUUGUGCUCAAUGGUAUGACUCAGAGGCACUUCAAAUUCUAAUUCUUAACAGGAGUUUUGAUCUAACUGAAGCCAUCAUUAAGCCAAGAAAUUUUCAGAGAUUAUUACAGCUGGCCACAGGGAUAGGAGCAGUGUACCAAAUAAAACAAUUCUUAAUCACUUAGGUAAAAAGAUCUUUGGAAAACAAUUAGAAAUGCUGCCAAAUUGCAUGCUACUAGACUGAUAUUUUGUGGAUCAUAAAUUCUCUUAGAAGGCUUUAGGCAAACUUAAUUCAAUUAAAAAACCCCUUCUCUACUAAGAUUAGUUGAUACUUUAAUUGGGUAGACACAAAAUAAAAAGUUUGCUUUCAUUAGAUUUAUUAAAUUAUUUCCUGAAAUAUUUCUCCCCUCUGACAUCUUAAAAAGAAGCCUUGUGCUGAGGGUUUAACACCUCCAAGGAGACUGGACAAAUCUUUACACUACUAGAGUUUCAAAGUACCAGCUUUUCGUCACUUUGCUCAGCACUUUCUUUUCGUUUCAAAACAUUAUCUCCAAUUGUGCUGAAGAUGUCCAUUUGCUCUUGCAAAUAACCUGAACUUGUUUAUUUAGCCAAUUCAGGGGAAAAUAUGCAGCCUGGACAAGGGUAGAGGAAGCAGAGAUGAGUGAAAGUGAAAUUAUGUGAGACAUAUUUGGGAGAUAAAAAUCAAUACUACUUGGAGUUGGAUUCAAAAUAGCAGAGAGAGAUGUUAAGGACAACUUUCAGAUGUCUAGCUGAUGCAACGGGAAGAGUGAUGAUGGUCGUUUACUGAAUUGGAAAACAGGAAGCUUACCAAGUUUGAGGGUAGACCAGCAUCAAGAGAUAUAACGAGUUUAUUUUAGAAUAUUUUCUUUAUAUGUAGCCCAAAGUAUCUAAAUUCCACAGUUGAAAAAUCAUUCAUAUAUAUUAAAAUUAUUAUUUCUCUUUUUUUCCUAAUAUGAUUCUUUCUGAAAAGUGAAAGUACCAUAGGGUGAUCUUACUAUCUUAGAAUGUAGGGAUGAAUUUAUCAAAUUGUUAUCCUAUGGAAUAAGAGUAUACAGGGCUUAUGAGAAAUAUGAGAAAGACAAUAGAGUGGAGAGAAGGUAGCCAAAGGAAAAAAAUCUGCUUAUUUCUUAAAAUUGACCAAGUUUGAUUCUAGUGAAGCUGUUAGAGUUGGGUAACUCACAUUUCUUAAAGUUGGACUCAUUAUGUUGUAAACUUUUUUCAUAAAUUUAACAGCUUUUCAAGGUGUGUGAUUAAAAAGACUUUACCUUAGAUUUCCUCUCUCGUCUGCAUACCAUAAAUUUUCUUCUUCACUAUGUUCAAACAAUCAAGCGGAGCUAGUCAUUAGCAAAUUAACUGAGACUUCUAAAGUGUGUAUUUCAAGCUCAUGCUCAUGAUUUUGAAUGAGGACCAAUUAUGUUCUCACAUCUGUCACUCACAUCAUCAGCUGUGGAAUGUCAAGACCCACUUGCACAUGCUGUAUAUAUAUGAGAGCAGAGGUUCAGGGGUGAACUAUUCAUCUUGGCUAAAUGCUGCUGUCAAUAUCCAUUGAUACCUUUCAACUGUUUUCUUUAUUCUUGGUAGAAGCUCAUUUGUUGUUUUUCAUAUAUUUCAAGAAAAUUCUUUUCUACAUUAGAGGAUUUUUCAUUCCUGAAUUUAGAUUUUAAAGAGUUUGUUUAUUUGAGGGGGGCAGGUAAGUUAAGAUAUCUUAAUCCUGAUGUGAAACAUAUAUGCACAAAAGUACUUUAAGAAAACAUAAAUGUAUAAGGGGUAAUGAGAUGAGUAAGACUUGUAUAUGAAUCAUCCUAAGACAGACAUAAUUAAAAUGAUAACUGAGUUAAUAAAAGUGAACAUUUUAGUCAUGUAAAAAUAUCACUAAUUAAAUUGAAAACUACAAACAUAUUUAAAAACACACAGAAAUGUUUUCAUUAUUACACAAAAUCACUUUUUCUCUCCCAUACAACAUUAAGA